GAUGGUCCCGCGUCCCAUUAGCUUGUUGGUGGGGUAAUGGCCUACCAAGGCGACGAUGGGUAGCCGGCCUGAGAGGGUGCCCGGCCACACUGGGACUGAGAUACGGCCCAGACUCCUACGGGAGGCAGCAGUCGAGAAGCUUCGGCAAUGGGCGAAAGCCUGACCGAGCGACGCCGCGUGAGCGAUGAAGGUCCUAUGGAUUGUAAAGCUCUGUCAGAUUGGGAAGAAAACUUCGCGAUUAAUACCCGCGAAGCUUGACGGUACCAUCAGAGGAAGCACCGGCUAACUCCGUGCCAGCAGCCGCGGUAAUACGGAGGGUGCGAGCGUUGUUCGGAUUCACUGGGUAUAAAGGGUGCGUAGGCGGCCUCGUAAGUCAGGGGUGAAAUAUGACGGCUCAACCGUCAAACUGCCCCUGAAACUGCAAGGCUUGAGUCCGGGAGAGGAAGGUGGAAUUCCUGGUGUAGCGGUGAAAUGCGUAAAUAUCAGGAGGAACACCGGUGGCGAAGGCGGCCUUCUGGUCCGGUACUGACGCUGAGGCACGAAAGCUAGGGGAGCGAACAGGAUUAGAUACCCUGGUAGUCCUAGCCGUAAACGAUGGGCACUAGGUGUCGGAGGAGUCUACCCCUUCGGUGCCGCAGCUAAUGCAUUAAGUGCCCCACCUGGGGAGUACGAUCGCAAGGUUGAAACUCAAAGGAAUUGACGGGGGCCCGCACAAGCGGUGGAGCAUGUGGUUUAAUUCGAUGCAACGCGAAGAACCUUACCUGGGCUUGACAUGCAGGGGACAGGUGCAGAAAUGUACCCUUCUUCGGACCCCUGUGCAGGUGCUGCAUGGCUGUCGUCAGCUCGUGUCGUGAAAUGUUGGGUUAAGUCCCGCAACGAGCGCAACCCCUGUCUUCAGUUGCCAUCAGUUCGGCUGGGGACUCUGGAGAGACUAAAAGGUGACAAACCGGAGGAAGGUGGGGACGACGUCAAGUCAUCAUGGCCCUUACGCCCAGGGCUACACACGUGCUACAAUGGUCGGUACAAUGGGCAGCAAUACCGUGAGGUGGAGCGAAUCCCAAAAAGCCGGCCUCAGUUCGGAUUGGAGUCUGCAACUCGACCCCAUGAAGUCGGAAUCGCUAGUAAUCGCGUAUCAGCAUGACGCGGUGAAUACGUUCCCGGGCCUUGACACACCGCCCGUCAAGUCAACCGAGUUGGCUGCACCCCAAGUCGCUG
rnacentral:rRNA from 1 species